rnacentral:tRNA from 1 species
UAGCUCAGUUGGUAAAGAAUCUGCCUUCAGUGCAGAUGACCCGGGUUCGAUCCCUGG